CCUACGGGUGGCAGCAGUAGGGAAUUUUCCACAAUGGGCGAAAGCCUGAUGGAGCAACACCGCGUGUGGGAUGAAGGCCUUCGGGUCGUAAACCACUUUUACUAGUGACGAAUAUGACGGUAACUAGAGAAUAAGGAUCGGCUAACUACGUGCCAGCAGCCGCGGUCAUACGUAGGAUCCAAGCAUUAUCCGGAAUUACUGGGCGUAAAGAGUUGCGUAGGUCGCAUUGUAAGCAAAAUAUGAAAUCGUAUGGCUCAACCAUACGGCUAUAUUUUGAACUGCAAAGCUAGAGAGCGAGAGGGGUAGAUGGAAUUACUAGUGUAGGAGUGAAAUCCGUAGAUAUUAGUAGGAACACCGAUAGCGUAGGCAGUCUACUGGCUCGUCUCUGACACUAAGGCACGAAAGCGUGGGGAGCGAACGGGAUUAGAUACCCGGGUAGUC
rnacentral:rRNA from 1 species